rnacentral:rRNA from 1 species
CAUCGCCUCUUGACAACAUAAAAGGUCCAGCCUGCCCAGUGACUCAAUUCAACGGCCGCGGUAUCCUAACCGUGCAAAGGUAGCGUAAUCACUUGUCUUCUAAAUAAAGACUAGUAUGAAAGGCACCACGAGAACUAAACUGUCUCCUUUUUCUAAUCAGUGAACCUAAUCUCCCUGUGAAAAAGCAGGGAUUUAAUAAUAAGACGAGAAGACCCUAUGGAGCUUUAAACACAUAACACUGCCCUUUUACACCACAAUGUUACAUGCACAAUGAUUAAAAGUUUUUAGUUGGGGUGACUACGGAGUAAACCCACCCUCCGCGAUGAAUCUUAAACGAGCAACAGCUUUAUACAUCAGCAAACUGACACCAUUGACCCAAUUUAUUGAUCAACGAACCAAGUUACCCUAGGGAU